rnacentral:rRNA from 1 species
UGGGUAGUCCGCACGAGCGCACCUUACUUUUAGUUGCUACCAUUCAGUUGGGCACUCUAAAAGAACUGCCAGUGAUAAGCUGGAGGAAGGUGGGGAUGACGUCAAGUCCUCAUGGCCCUUAUGUGUUGGGCUACACACGUGCUACAAUGGUAUUUACAGUGGGAUGCAAAGAGGCAACUCCAAGCCAACCCUCAAAAAAAUACCUCAGUUCGGAUUGUACUCUGCAACUCGAGUACAUGAAGCUGGAAUUACUAGUAAUCGCGGAUCAGCGCGCCGCGGUGAAUACGUUCCCGGGUCUUGUACACACCGCCCGUCACACCAUGGAAGUUGGUUACACCUUAAGGCAAAGUGUAAAAUCUUUGACUACGGUACGAUCAGCGACUGGGGUGAAGUCGUAACAAGGUAGCCGUAGGGGAACCUGCGGCUGGAUCACCUCCUUUCU